ACAGACUAUGCACAACUCUGUAUAGCAAAGCAAAUAUCUUGGUUUUAGUUAAGUAACGAGGAAGUAGCUUUAUGGUACAAGGGGUCCAAUUGUUUUCUCUAGUCGGGUUAAAUGCUCUCAAAGUUGGUUGAUUUUGAAAUGCUACAACAAGGUGAGCAGGAUAAAGCAAAGCAAUCAAUUGAAAACACUUCUAGCACUAAAGACAUAAGGCAAAGGUAUAAUAAUAAUUAGCCGAGAAUGCAUAUACUGUGAUGAGGUGGCACUUGAUUUUGUGGAUUGUUUGCUGAUGUGGAGUCAACGCUGGUGUGUUUUGGUCAGAUAGUAUUUAAAGGAAUAGAAAAUGACUUUUGUGGCAUUUUUGCGCUUAGAACUAAUCUCAUUCUCUUCACACUUCUUCUCGAGUGUUCUCUCUUGGUUACAGAGAGAGAAAUUAUGUUGCAAUGGAGAUCGGGGUGGAGCCUUUGGAGAUGCAAGAUGAAUCAAACGGUGUGGUGAGAUUUUGGAAUCUUGGUUUGCUACACAGCUAUCCUCUUCUGUUCUUGUAUAAAUGUUCUCUAAUUUCUUGUAUUUUGAUAUAUGAGAGGUCAGGAAAAGGGUGCUUAUAGGUGAUUCAUAGAGGGGUUUUCCUGGGGUUCUUCAUGUAUAUUGGGAAAGUGCAAAAACUCUGUAAGAUUGUCUUUAUAGUGUUAUUUCUUUGCUACCCUGAAGAGUGGAUGUAGGUAAUCAAUUUGAUUACUGAACCACUAUAAAUUCUCUAUGUCUUUUCUUUACUUUUAUGCUUCGUUUUCGUGUUUC